rnacentral:rRNA from 1 species
UACGAAGGUUGCGAGCGUUGUUCGGAAUCACUGGGCUUAAAGCGCAUGUAGGCGGCUCAUCAAGUGCCUUGUGAAAUCCCACGGCUCAACCGUGGAAUUGCUUGGUAUACUGUUCGAGCUUGAGGCAGGUAGGGGCACGUGGAACUCUUGGUGGAGCGGUGGAAUGCGUAGAUAUCAAGAGGAACGCCGGUGGCGAAAGCGGCGUGCUGGGCCUGUCCUGACGCUGAGAUGCGAAAGCCAGGGGA